rnacentral:rRNA from 1 species
UAGGGAAUCUUCCGCAAUGGACGCAAGUCUGACGGAGCAACGCCGCGUGAGUGAAGAAGGUUUUCGGAUCGUAAAACUCUGUUGUUAGAGAAGAACAAGUGCUAGAGUAACUGUUAGCGCCCUGACGGUAUCUAACCAGAAAGCCACGGCUAACUACGUGCCAGCAGCCGCGGUAAUACGUAGGUGGCAAGCGUUGUCCGGAUUUAUUGGGCGUAAAGCGAGCGCAGGCGGUUCCUUAAGUCUGAUGUGAAAGCCCCCGGCUCAACCGGGGAGGGUCAUUGGAAACUGGGGAACUUGAGUGCAGAAGAGGAGAGUGGAAUUCCAUGUGUAGCGGUGAAAUGCGUAGAUAUAUGGAGGAACACCAGUGGCGAAGGCGACUCUCUGGUCUGUAACUGACGCUGAGGCUCGAAAGCGUGGGUAGCAAACAGGAUUAGAUACCCUGGUAGUCCACGCCGUAAACGAUGAGUGCUAAGUGUUGGAGGGUUUCCGCCCUUCAGUGCUGCAGUUAACGCAUUAAGCACUCCGCCUGGGGAGUACGACCGCAAGGUUG